AGCAGCCGCGGUAAUUCCAGCUCCAAUAGCGUAUAUUAAAGUUGUUGCAGUUAAAAAGCUCGUAGUUGAAUUUCGGGGUUAGUAGGCUGGUCGUGCCACAGGUACGUACUGGUCUAACUGAUUCCUCCCUCCUGAUGAACCGUAAUGCCAUUAAUUUGGUGUUGCGGGGAAUUUGGACUGUUACUUUGAAAAAUUAGAGUGUUUAAAGCAAGCUAACGCUUGAAUACAUUAGCAUGGAAUAAUGAAAUAGGACGUUCGAUCCUAUUUUGUUGGUUUCUAGGAUUGACGUAAUGAUUAAUAGGGAUAGUUGGGGGCAUUAGUAUUCAAUUGUCAGAGGUGAAAUUCUUGGAUUUAUUGAAGACUAACUACUGCGAAAGCAUUUGCCAAGGAUGUUUUCAUUAAUCAAGAACGAAAGUUAGGGGAUCGAAGACGAUCAGAUACCGUCGUAGUCUUAACCAUAAACUAUGCCGACUAGGGAUCGGAUGAUGUUAAUUUUUUAAUGACUCAUUCGGCGCCUUAC
rnacentral:sRNA from 1 species